rnacentral:rRNA from 1 species
AUUGAUCGCUAGCGGGAUGCUUUACACAUGCAAGUCGAACGGCAGCGCGGACUUCGGUCUGGCGGCGAGUGGCGAACGGGUGAGUAAUGUAUCGGAACGUGCCCAGUAGCGGGGGAUAACUACGCGAAAGCGUAGCUAAUACCGCAUACGCCCUACGGGGGAAAGCAGGGGAUCGUAAGACCUUGCACUAUUGGAGCGGCCGAUAUCGGAUUAGCUAGUUGGUGAGGUAACGGCUCACCAAGGCGACGAUCCGUAGCUGGUUUGAGAGGACGACCAGCCACACUGGGACUGAGACACGGCCCAGACUCCUACGGGAGGCAGCAGUGGGGAAUUUUGGACAAUGGGGGCAACCCUGAUCCAGCCAUCCCGCGUGUGCGAUGAAGGCCUUCGGGUUGUAAAGCACUUUUGGCAGGAAAGAAACGUCGCGGGCUAAUACCCCGUGGAACUGACGGUACCUGCAGAAUAAGCACCGGCUAACUACGUG